UUAACUCGAAUAUGUAUGAAGUUGGAACAGCGCCUCUAGCGGCAAACGAAGGGAAGCUGUUCCAACUCCAUACAAAUUUAAGUUA
rnacentral:pre_miRNA from 1 species